GAGGGUAUAGUUCAAGUGGUAGAGCAUAUGCUUAGCAUGCAUGAGGUCCUGGGUUCAAUCCCCAGUACCUCCU
rnacentral:tRNA from 1 species